CGUCUCCUCCACCUCCUCCUUUGGUGGAUUUAAGCCCGAGCCUCAGAUGCUCGGGCUUUUUUUC
rnacentral:ncRNA from 1 species